CCUACGGGAGGCAGCAGUAAGGAAUAUUGGACAAUGGGCGAAAGCCUGAUCCAGCCAUGCCGCGUGAAGGAUUAAGGCCCUCUGGGUUGUAAACUUCUUUUAUAGGGGACGAAAAAAGGGAAUUCUUUCCCUCCUGACGGUACCCUAUGAAUAAGCACCGGCUAACUCCGUGCCAGCAGCCGCGGUAAUACGGAGGGUGCAAGCGUUAUCCGGAUUCACUGGGUUUAAAGGGUGCGUAGGCGGGUAGGUAAGUCAGUGGUGAAAUCUCGAAGCUUAACUUCGAAACUGCCAUUGAUACUAUUUAUCUUGAAUAUUGUGGAGGUUUGCGGAAUAUGUCAUGUAGCGGUGAAAUGCUUAGAUAUGACAUAGAACACCUAUUGCGAAGGCAGCAGGCUACGCAUAUAUUGACGCUGAGGCACGAAAGCGUGGGGAUCAAACAGGAUUAGAUACCCUGGUAGUCCACGCCCUAAACGAUGAUUACUCGACAUUUGUGAUACACUAUAAGUGUCUGAGCGAAAGCAUUAAGUAAUCACCUGGAAGUACGACCGCAAGGUUGAAACUUACGAAGUAGUAGCGNGAGAGAGCGACGACGACGACGACGGAGGAGGAGG
rnacentral:rRNA from 1 species